AUGGAGCCGGAGUUUGUACUGUUUAGAGGGUUUCUCCAAAAAGUCUCGCCCUCUAAGCACCUGUGUCUGCACCAUCGAGGCUUGGACACUCAAUUCUUCAGGGUGUUCCCCUUGUUUCCUAGCCUGACGCAACUCGAGCUACAUGGCCCCAUCCGAAGCAGCGAGGCAGUUGAUGCGGUCCGGAGGGUACUGGAGCAGACGCCGAACCUCGAGGUUCUGUCGCUCAACAUGGGAAGACAAAAGGAUGAAGAGGAAGAGGAAGAGGAAGUGGAAGAGGAAGAGGAAGAGGAAGAUGAUGAUCAGGAACUGUACCAUCAGUCCUUGGAUGAUGAUCAGGAGGAGGAGGAGGAAGAGGAGGAGGAGGCCAUGUACCCGGGGCGGUUCAACAGAAGAGGCGUAGAUGAUGAUCAGGAGCGGUACCAUCAGUCCUUGGAUGGUCUUGUGGAGCUCAGAGUUCCCAGCCGGUUGAGUUUUUCCAUGCGGUGCUUGCGCCAUCGAGUGAAGGAGGUCAACAUGGUUAACUACCGGUGUGACGUGCAGCAUAGGGUGCUGGCCAGCCUGCUGUUCCGCAAUGCGCUUGUGCUUGAAAGGAAGCGUGUCAUGUUUGUGAAGAAGGUGCCGUCCGAGUUGCAGGCUGAGCUCAUGAAGGAGAUCGAGAGCUGGGUACGUAGUGGCCAAACCAGAAAAGAGAUUCAUGUGAUGAGUUAG
rnacentral:rRNA from 1 species